rnacentral:SRP_RNA from 1 species
GCACGGAAUAGGCCGGGGGGCUAGGCGUCCCCUGUAACCAGAAAACGCCUUCGCUGGGGCCGAAGCCAGCGGGGCGGCGCAGAAUGCAGGUAUGGAUCCACUGCCGAACAAUGAGAUCUCGUCCUCUGGGAUCAAAGGUGAUGGGCUUGCAAAUUGGAGGAUUUGCACGCUCAUCUUUGCUUGGAAAAAUGGGCCAGGCCCGGAAGGGAGCAGCCCGGUCCGAGACUAUUGAUGCUCAGAGGGGUGCGGGAUUGAGAUAAGCGUGGGUAAAUCCUUAUCUGCAUUUUGCGCCCACCUGCGGCGCUUCCGUGC